UUUGGGUGAGUGUCUCAAUAUAAUAAUUUAGGGAACAAAGUGAUGUCUCGGUUUGAAAGAGUUGAUUAUGGUCAUUGGCUUCAACACCAACGAGGAAUAUUAACGAAUUAAAUAUGUGGUUAGGUCCGAUGUUUCUACUACUCUGUUCUUCACGUACAAUAUGGCCCUUGAACCACCUUUGGAGAAAUAUGAUAGGUGGUAAUAUCGAUGCUUUCUUAUUAAAAAGGAGAGGUUGAGAAG